rnacentral:tRNA from 1 species
GCUCCUGUGGCGGAAUAGGUAGACGCGGCAGACUUAAAAUCUGUUUUUUAAAUGUGGGUUCGAGUCCCACCAGGAGUA